GAUGAACGCUAGCGGCAGGCUUAACACAUGCAAGUCGAGGGGUAACAUAGAAAAGCUUGCUUUUCUGAUGACGACCGGCGCACGGGUGCGUAACGCGUAUACAACCUACCUUUUAGCGGGGAAUAGCCCAGGGAAACUUGGAUUAAUGCCCCAUAGUAUAUAGACUUCUCCUGAAGUUUAUAUUAAACAUUUAUGGCUAUUAGAUGGGUAUGCGUCCUAUUAGUUAGUUGGUAAGGUAACGGCUUACCAAGGCAGCGAUAGGUAGGGGUCCUGAGAGGGAGAUCCCCACACUGGUACUGAGACACGGACCAGACUCCUACGGGAGGCAGCAGUGAGGAAUAUUGGACAAUGGGCGAGAGCCUGAUCCAGCCAUGCCGCGUGCAGGAAGACUGCCCUAUGGGUUGUAAACUGCUUUUACAGAGGAAGAACCACCCCCACGUGUGGGGGUUUGACGGUACCCUGCGAAUAAGGAUCGGCUAACUCCGUG
rnacentral:rRNA from 1 species